rnacentral:rRNA from 1 species
UACAGAGGGUGCGAGCGUUAAUCGGAAUUACUGGGCGUAAAGCGUGCGCAGGCGGCUCCUUAAGUCAGAUGUGAAAGCCCCGGGCUCAACCUGGGAAUGGCAUUGGAAACUGGCGAGCUAGAGUGUGGCAGAGGGGGGUGGAAUUCCGGCGUGUAGCAGUGAAAUGCGUAGAGAUGUGGAGGAACACCGAUGGCGAAGGCAGCCCCCUGGGUCAAAACUGACGCUCAUGCACGAAAGCGUGGGGAGCAAACAGG